UUUUUUUUUUUUUUUCUUUUAAGAACACUGUGGGCUUGUGAAAUAUAGUUUAUGGAUGUACAAAUGUGACCCUGGACCCAUAUCAAACCCAGACUGAAUAUCUUUUGAGUGAAAUUUUCCACAGGAGUGAUGCUACGCUGAAGUGAUUUUCAGAUAUUUCAGGCUGUCUAGGUACAUUAUGAAGCUGGAGGAGAGCUGUAAAACAAAAGCCAAGGACCUCAAGGUGGUUUGGAAACUAGGAGGGUGCUUGGAAAUUCAGUAUGGAUUGAUGACUAAUGCUGGUGACAGGGUGUCUCUGAAUUUUUUUCAAGAACCUUUCUUUGCAGUUGAUUCACAGAAGGACAAAAUGACUUUGCUGUGUCUCUGUGUUCGAAAAUCAGUUAAUUUCUGUCCUUUGAUUAAAAUAACCUCAAGGAGAAAUUUCGAGACAUAAUUGAAUUGCUCUGUGGAGCCUUUGGACUCCUAGGUGAGGAAGUAGUUUCAGGGGUAGAUGUGUUCUCUACCUAGAGAUUGCCCAAGAGCAAUGAAAUCGUCCAGCAAAAUCUCAAGGGAACACUAAUGGGAGCGCCACCGCGGAUGCUUCCCUUCCAGACUCUGUACAAAGGGAUUUGUCAGUGCCGGUCAUUAGUUAACUUGUAGACCAGUUACUUUAUAGAGAUGUCCUAGGACUGCUCUCGCAUCUCUUGGCCAUGUGAGGACUGCUCUUUGUAGGUAGAAAUGCAUGCUUACGUGCAUAGUAGCAAAUACAGCCCUGAAGUUCAGUACUGAACUUAGCAUUGCUUAAAUACUAAGAGCCAGAAAGAAUCCACCUGAGCUACUGGAUGAUAGGACUGCAAACAGCUCUGGAAUUCCUUGGUUUCAUUGUUUGUUCUCUGAACCACCUUUGAACCCAGUAGUGACUGGGCAGCUAAGAGCAACGCUGACGAGCUGAGUGACAGCUGAGGAGUGGUUCAAGUUGCUGUCUAGCUUUGAGCUGUUGCGGGAGAAAGCGUCACGUAAACCGACCCACGGUGGAGGUUUGGGGGAUGUACAUGUGUGCAGUGUGGAGACCUGACCCAAACUGCUGUCUCUUUUCCCGCCUCCCCACUAAUGCUCUCCUAGUGUUUGUGCCAGGGGUAAGCCUAUGAGUUGUUCAUUAAGCCUGCUUGCCAUUGAUGACUGAACCUGAGAAAUGCUACUGCAUCCUUCUUCCCUUUACAAAUAGGAACUCCUGAGUCUGCUAGGGUCUCCUUCCCAGCAUCCCAUCAGUAGGGUAUAAGAAGAAUGGCUGUCACUUCUGUGCCUCCUCUGCCUUCCCCUCACUCGGCCAUGGGAGCAGUACUAGUGAGCCAGUAGAUACUAUUAGUUUAGUGUGAUUCUUGGGAAAUGGCAGAAAGACCUGAUAAGGGACCUGGCUGACCCUAGGAAAUAGCUGCCCACUCUCUGUGAAUUGUCUGGUACUGUAACUGGGUCUUAUCUGAGCUGCUGCAUGGUCAGAUCUUGGUCACAGAACUUUGGCGUCUGCCUCAGAGCACUAGAGGCCCUGCAAAGGCUAGAACAUGUUAAAUAUUAACUUGUAAAUGGUACUGUUUCUGACUCAGCUUCCUUAUUGUCCCUUGUUUUUUCAGUUCUACAGGAGCUGAAAUGCUGCUCACAGGUCUGGGUCAUUCUUCUCUCUAAACAAAUGCUAUGGUUUACUCCACUUCAGUGUUCGAUGGGUGUGGCUUCGGGCUUUGAUUCUGAGGGUCACCCCUGCAUAGUGACUGGAGUGGUUUUGUGCUUGAGGAAUUGGGAUGUAUUUCCACUCUUAAUAAGCUUGUAACAAUCCAUUGAUAAUUUAUGUCAUAACGCUCCCGCAGUGCUGAUGAGCACUGAGGGGAACUUAGAGGCAUAUGAGCUUCAGUCACUGUGGCCUGGGUGGAAUCUGCAUGAGCCCAUGCUUCAGUAUAUCAGAGCGCAAGGUCACAGCUUCUCUAAGCUGUGGUUCCUUCAUGAAAAGGAAAAGAAUGUGCAUUAUUCAGCAGCCUAUCAGGCGUUCUGCGAAAGUUCAGUAGAUGAGGGGCACUCGUACCGUAUUUCUUGUUAUUUACAUUAUUUCCAUUGUCCUUGUACAGUGCUGCAGUGCGUACCUUCUCAGAAUGUUGUCUUGAACACUGAAUUCAAGACUGAACACUGGAUAUUUUCCAGGACCAGACCGCCAGUGCCAGAUUACUUUCUGAAGGGGUUGUGCUGAUUGACAGUCACACUAACAACCCAGGAAGAGCCUUGUGGAAUAUAUUUUAUGAAUUAAAAUAGAACUUGUUGUACUUAAACCUUGCUGUGUGUUUAUAGAGUAUAGAUCAGUGCUAGUGAGAAGCAGAUAGGAGGCACUUCCCACUUGACUCUGUACCCUGCUCCUUCCCUGUGACUGCCACCACCCCCACCCUUCCUACCCCCACCCGGCCACUAUAUUAUGGGUUAUAAGCUAAAUAUAAACUAAGAUCUAAGCUUGAAGUCGGUCUUUUUUUCUUUUUUCUUUUUUUCCCUUUUCAAGGUAGAACUAUGUGGCAAUGACUCAGUCUGCCCCAGAUUUAAAAAGAAAGAAAAGAAUUGGUUCCUGGCCAAUUGGAAAUGGGUAGAACCAUUUCGUCACAUUCCUUGCCUUGUUUUGACUUAGAGAAAUUAUGUGCUUCAUUGUCAUUUGAUAAGAUACAUUAAAUAAAUUAAAAAAAAGAGUAAAUGCACAAGGAAACCCAGGGUAGAUUUCCUUACAGCAAUCUUAUCGUUUGACUAGAUAAUGUCAUUUUCCAAAGGACUAGUAGCAGUCCCGAAGUGAUCUGGUUUCGUGGGAGUGGAGGAGGGACUAUUGGAACAAAAAUGCAAUGGUCCAGGAAGGAAAGGGAGGGAUACUAGUUUGCUAUUGUGAAGGAUGUCUUUCAAGGGAGGAAGAGAUGAGGGAACUAAAGGGGGUUCCUGGGGGGUGGGGUGGGGAGGAGGGAUGGGAUUUAUAGGGAGAGAGGGCACUGUAGGGGGUUGGUUCCUUUAAGGGAGGAAAAGAUUGAGUAUUUUGCUGUCAAUUUCUGUUCAGUUGUUUUAGAUUCAUUUAAAAUUCUUUAAAGCCUUAGUUUCUUUGUUUCUGAUAUUCCACUUCUAGUUAAACUAUUGAGAGAAAUCUGAAAGAUUUUGCAAUCUAGGAGGUCUGCAGGACCCAAUAAGAGUUACAGACUUCUCUUUAACCUACUCACAUCAGAGUCUGUUAGUUCAAGGACAGAACCCAGGACCACUGAGAGAAACACAGAAGUAGCUCUCAGAGCUUUUCUCAUGGCAAAUUUUUACCCUAAAGAUGGCCCAAAGGACAUGAGAGCCAGAUUCCUUAAAUGAAGUGCAGGGUCUGUCUAGACCUUGCCUCCAGGAACUCUGCCGUGACUGCUCUGGAUGGAGUAGGCCUUGGGUGUCCCAGGUGAUGCUAGCAAGCUGUUUUAAGUGGAGCCUGAUCCAUCCCUAUGCAUGCAUGCAUGCACAUGUGCAUGAGUGUGCAUUCAGGGUUUUGUAGAGAAUCUCGGAUAGAAACUGAUUAGAGGAGGAGAGACUAUUACUUGAGUGUUGAAGUAGUGAUGGCCAUCAUGAGUUUGGCUUUUCCUUCCCCACAUAUUGUGAUUCCCUGGCUGCUCGCAGAUGUUAGCUGCUUAAAGUCUGACUGGACAUAAAGGGAAAUUCUGUGUUUAGACAAAGUGGUACUGGACUGGUGGGAACUGAUUCUGAUCUUUUACUGUGAGGAAAUUGUUGUAAAGGGGGCUAGCAAGAAAGCCCUGUAGAAGCCAUUUAAAGUUCAUGAGAUGGCAUGCUUAGCCACAGUCAGACUUACAAGCGCUUGCUAAAGAACCCUGAGACAUGCUUGAGCGAGGACCGGCUUACAGUCUCAGACUACAGUUUGAGAUAUUUUGUUUGGCAUUAAAAGCCAGGCAAUUUGGAGAAAUUGGAUCAUAUCCGUAUCAUUACAUACUGUUUACUUAAAAUAUUGGUAUUAGUACUGUAGACUGUAAUAACAAAUCUUGUAAUGUGUGUCCAUCCAUAAAUUGUUACUCGUUUUCCCACUGGCUCACAACCCAGCACCAAGAAAACACUGCAGAAUAAAACCUAUGUGCUAAUG
rnacentral:lncRNA from 1 species